rnacentral:ncRNA from 1 species
CACAGGUUUGGUCCCAGCCUUCCUAUUAGCUCUUAAUAGACUUACACAUGCAAGCAUCCGCACUCCAGUGAAAAUGCCCUCCAAGUCAAUAAGAUUAAGAGGAGCUGGUAUCAAGCACACACCCGUAGCUCACGACACCUUGCACAGCCACACCCCCACGGGAGACAGCAGUGAUAAAAAUUAAGCCAUAAACGAAAGUUUGACUAAGCCAUAUUAAUUAGGGUUGGUAAAUUUCGUGCCAGCCACCGCGGCCAUACGAUUAACCCAAGUUAAUAAGCACACGGCGUAAAGCGUGUUAAAGCACUGUACUAAAUAAAGUUAAAUUCCAAUUAAGCUGUAAAAAGCCAUAAUUGCAACAAAAAUAAACAACGAAGGUAACCUUAUAGCCGCUGAAACACGAUAGCUAGGACCCAAACUGGGAUUAGAUACCCCACUAUGCCUAGCCCUAAACACAAAUAGUUGUGUAAACAAAACUAUUCGCCAGAGUACUACCGGCAAUAGCUUAAAACUCAAAGGACUUGGCGGUGCUUUAUACCCUUCUAGAGGAGCCUGUUCUAUAAUCGAUAAACCCCGAUAAACCUCACCAUUCCUUGCUAAUACAGUCUAUAUACCGCCACCUUCAGCAAACCCUAAAAAGGUACAAAAGUAAGCACAAUCAUAAUACAUAAAAACGUUAGGUCAAGGUGUAACCUAUGGAAUGGGAAGAAAUGGGCUACAUUUUCUAACCUAAGAAAAUCUAAUACGAAAGUUAUUAUGAAACCAGUAACCAAAGGAGGAUUUAGCAGUAAACUAAGAAUAGAGUGCUUAGUUGAAUUAGGCCAUGAAGCACGCACACACCGCCCGUCACCCUCCUCAAGUAGGCACAAUACACUCAAAUUUAUUCAUACGUAUUAAUCACAUGAGAGGAGACAAGUCGUAACAAGGUAAGCAUACUGGAAAGUGUGCUUGGAUAAAU